rnacentral:rRNA from 1 species
ACCCGCUGAACUUAAGCAUAUCAAUAAGCGGAGGAAAAGAAACCAACAGGGAUUGCCCUAGUAACGGCGAGUGAAGCGGCAACAGCUCAAAUUUGAAAUCUGGCCCUCGGGUCCGAGUUGUAAUUUGUAGAGGAUGCUUUUGGCGCGGUGCCUUCCGAGUUCCCUGGAACGGGACGCCUUAGAGGGUGAGAGCCCCGUACGGUUGGACACCAAGCCUCUGUAAAGCUCCUUCGACGAGUCGAGUAGUUUGGGAAUGCUGCUCUAAAUGGGAGGUAAAUUUCUUCUAAAGCUAAAUAUUGGCCAGAGACCGAUAGCGCACAAGUAGAGUGAUCGAAAGAUGAAAAGCACUUUGAAAAGAGGGUUAAAUAGCACGUGAAAUUGUUGAAAGGGAAGCGUUUGCGACCAGACCUUUUCCUGGCGGAUCAUCCGGUGUUCUCACCGGUGCACUUCGCCAGGUUGAGGCCAGCAUCGGUUUCGGCAGGGGGAUAAAAGCGUUGGGAACGUAGCUCCUCCGGGAGUGUUAUAGCCCUUCGCAUAAUACCCUUGCGGGGACCGAGGACCGCGCUUUUGGCAAGGAUGCUGGCGUAAUGGUCGUCAACGACCCGUCUUGAAACACGGACCAAGGAGUCGAACAUUUGUGCGAGUGUUUGGGUGUUAAACCCUCACGCGUAAUGAAAGUGAACGGAGGUGAGAGCCCUUACGGGUGCAUCAUCGACCGAUCCUGAUGUCUUCGGAUGGAUUUGAGUAAGAGCAUAACUGUUCGGACCCGAAAGAUGGUGAACUAUGCGUGGAUAGGGUGAAGCCAGAGGAAACUCUGGUGGAGGCUCGCAGCGGUUCUGACGUGCAAAUCGAUCGUCAAA